UGGAAAAGACCUCUAAGAUCAUCCAGUCCAAAUGUCCACCUACCAGCAGUGCUGCCCACUGAAGCAUGGCUCUCAGUGCCGCAUCUCCGCAGCUCUUGAACACUUCCAGGGAUGGUGACUCCACCAAACACAAUCACAGAAUAACUAAGGUUGAAAAAGAUCUCUGAGGUCACCUAGUCCAACCACCCACACGCAUCUUUCUCACACUGCUCAUAGGGAACACUUUGGAUUCGAGUUUUUAAUUCACCAUUCUGAGAAGCACUUUUGCGAACAAUGAUGACCAUUUUACCUGAAGGAGGAGAAGGUUCCAUCCCCUUUCUAAGUGAUAUUCUCACUUCUCUGAUUCCUUACGUACUCCUCUGCCACGGCUUCCUGCAAUGGAGCCCUCCUGGGCAGGGGGCUCUAUGUUUCCUAUUUUUAAUGCAUCUGUGUGACACCAGGGAGAACAAACGGCCAGCCUUAUCCUUCGAGGCUGCAGUAGGACAGGCUCCCAUCCUGAAGAAGUCUGAGCUUUGGAAAGUGUCCUUGUUGUAACUUCACAUAAGAACAUAAAUUUCAGAUCAUAGACUCAAUUAAGGUUGGAAAAGACCACUAAGGUCUAAGCACCAACCUGCCACCUCCAUGCCCACUCAUGUCGCUAGGAUGCAGCACUUUUCACCCUUUAAAGAUACCGCCAGUGUUGACGUCCAGCUCGGUGCCCUCACUCAGCAGCCAUCAGCACACGGCCCGACAUCGCGCCCAGUGCCUGGAGCCCUCUGGUGGUAAACCUCACGAGAAAACAAACUGUGUGCUCACCUGAUGAGGACACACAUGAGGUCAUUGUCCCACUACCUGACCAUCUAUUAGGCUUCAGAACCUCUAACAAAAGCUAAAGUCAGUGCCAAAAGAGGGAGAACAUGGCUCUUUCUGCUAACUCUGGAAGCGUAACUCAGCUGCUGUCUUCCUGUAAGAGCUUGCAGGACUGAGUGCCCUUCUUUAAUCCGAACAGCUUCCAUAAGUACUGCAGAACUCUUCUCCAAACGCCAGGCACUACCAAGUCUGGCUCCUUCUGCUGACAGUCCAAGCAUCUUUCUCUUCAUCUGGGGAACUCUCCGGAACGCUCAGGGCUGACACCACGUGGAAGGGCGAAUGCCAAUUAACCAUACUGGAAGACCCAGCAGCUCACACCGGCUGAGCGUUAGACCACCGCCUCUGAAGCAGGGCCUUUUUUCACACGUUUUAAUUACGGACCCCCUUCGUGGAAGCUAUUACCUCGCAGAAAGGCCGCUAACUGGCACGUUCGCCGCAAGAUGAAACCUUCCCGAUAAUUGUUCUUUGAGUUCACGUUUGUGAAAAUAAAUAUCAUCAGAUGAUUAAAUUAAA
ensembl:lncRNA